CACCUCUCAGGGUCGCAGCUGGAGAGUUUCCGGUACUCUAUCGGUCUCGACUACGAGAGGGAGAGUCAAGCAGAGGCACAUUCAAUCCAUUCCUAGUUUGGCCAAUGGCUAGUGAAUGGAAGGCAAUCUGCUAUGAGU